rnacentral:lncRNA from 1 species
UAGAACGUAAAGAUACAUACAACUCUAAAUUUUUACUUUUCUAUUUCUAACCGUUAUAUUUUAAUAGCCAUUUAAAUAUUUUACAUCUAUAUAAACAAAAGAAGAUCGUGUCAGUUACCACCACAUAACUCGAGAACCACUGAAUAGAUUUUUAUGAAAUUUUCCACGUAUAUUCGACCGGACUGAGAAUAGGUUGCUAUAUAUUUUUCAUAUCCGUACGUCAUAAAGGGGGCUGCCCCCCUAAUAUAUUUUUUUAUUUUUUUGGUCAAACUGUUUUUUCUUAAUUUUGUGUGAUGUGGAAGGGAAAGGUAAAUACAACCCUACAUUUUCACGUUUCUACCUUCGACCGUUAUUUUUUAAUAGCCAUCUAAAGUUUUGCAUCUUAUAUAUAAAAAUCUAUUGCUGUGCGUUAGUCUCGCUAACACUCGAGAAUGGCUGGACCGAUUUGGCUAA